CUUGUGGCAGUCCUUUGUGACGGGUACCACUGCUCCAAGAACUCUUGUGUGUGUGGUGUAAAAAGCGGGAAAUCAGGAGUGGACCCUGGCUUGGAAGAUCAAUCUCUUCUUCUCUAUUAAUGGGAACUCAGCAGAAAUGAUGAGUAAGAACCCAGCAGGAGGCUUUGUUUCAGAAACUAGAACCUGCCCGAAGGAAACACUUGGUAGGAGAGGUGUUGGAGGUAGUCACUGGAACAACAUCGCCCCAAAUUUGUGUCCACUUGAAAUGCUCCAUGUUUGUAAUCGCCGAGCAAGAAUGAGCAGACUCUUUCACGGUCUUGGCUGUUGGCAUCUCUCUCACGAUAACUGAAGCACGCUGAGUGAGAAGCACACCCGAAAGAAAAGAGGGAGUUCAAAGGGGAACUGGAAGAUGGAGGCAAACAGAAAGAAAUGGAAGUGUCAAGUUUUUAAACAGAAAACAAAGAAGCCUAUAACCUAAAAACCCACAAGCCUAAAGCAGAUUUCAGAUGAACGAAGAGGUAAGAGAUGACACUGGUAGUAAACUGCAACUGCGCGAGUUGCAUAAAUGCAGAGCGGAUUUCAGCGCCUAAUGCACGCAGCAGAGAUUUCCACCGUGAAGAUGGAGCGAGGGAGCCUGCAGCAUCUGAAGGGAAAUCAGUUGACGGCACCGCUCCGGCGUGCGGAGAUGUGAAACUGCCACAUACAGGGAAAGUGGAAGCGACUACUGAAACCUGCAAUGGCACCAACUCCCCGGAGCUUGAACUUCUGCGAUAAAAGGAAAGAGAUCAUUAACUGCGCGUGGGGAUCGCUCGUGGAGGAGGAAAAAAAACACCCUUUAACUCUGGAGUUUUUAAAAGUGCCCUUGUUUGUUUUCUUGGCAGAGGAUCGGAGCAUUUGGCACCCAUCCUUGGAAGGUGGCCCGGCUGUAAAAAUGCUGGGGUUGGCCCUUUCCAUGCUGUUGCUAAGCGGACGGCCCAAUAGCCGGCUGGGGCCCUCCAAACCCCACCCCGCGCUCCGGCCAGAUCCAGCCUGUAUUAAAAGCCUCUCUUCUCCCACUUGCUAAUAAUAAUUUAAUUUCUUUUUUAAGCCAAAGAAGUGCCAAAUUUAUAUAAGCCUGGCCAUGCCAAGAGGUGCGGGGUGUGCAGCCCGUGCCCCAAAGAGCCCUUUGCUUCGGGGCUGUGGCUCCCGUCAGACCCGUUCCCCUUCUCUCUCCCCGCUCCCACAGCCUCAAGUUUGCCAUUCAGCCACCAGACCGAAGGGAACACGUCCAUACAGCUCCAGCUCGUGCAGCAUACAGUCCUAUUGUUCUUGGUUGACUUCUGCAGAGCUUCUCGUGCUUGGAGUCAGCCUUGUAGUUUCACUGAGCCCACGCCUACACAAACCAGAGCAAGUUCAACAGGGAGAUGGGCACGGCUCCGCUCCCAGCUCUGGCUUCCAGGCUCAAGACUCUUCUUCUUCUCCAGGUUGUCUGGUGGAGAAAAAGUUGGACUUAGAUGCUGCUGUGCUACUAUGAUGCUCCAUGAGUGAGGAUCUUCUGGUCCCUGCAGCCAGUAAAACACCCCUGGGCAGCACUGGGAUGAUGCAGUGAAGCUAUAAACAUCACAUGACUGGAGAGGAAACAAGCAAGGAGCCCAAUAGCUGCUGGAUCUGCCAGGAAACUGGCAAGCAGAACUCGGAAUGCUAUGGCACAACUGAAAAUGGCUAUUGCUGGGAGACUGUGGCUUUUAUUCAGAAAAAAAAAAAAAAGAGGAUGAACUAAUGUUAUCUCUAGGGAUCAGAAUCCUUAUUUUUGCAUGCCAUUCAGUCACAGACUACGUGGAAGACACUGUGGUGUCCAACACAGUCGGACAAGUAUUUUAAUGGUGAUAAUUCACUGAUGUGAGAACCACCACCAGCUAUUCAUCCUCUGUGAUCUCCUGUCCUGUACCGACUCACCCCAGUUUGCAGGAGACAAUCCUGACACGGGGUGUUUCAUGGUUACCUUGUGGUCCACGUCUAUUUUUGUAUCUGUUGUCUCCUGCUUUAUACUUAGCUCUUCUGGCAUUCUAGAAUUUGGUAUAAUGGAGCCCAAUCAACGAUGUGAGCUAGUGAGCAAGUAACACAGUGUGAAUACGAGGAAAUAAUUGUGUCUUUCAGCAGGAAGGUGGAGACAUUUUUCUAGAGAAAAGGAAUAAAGGCCUCAGAAGAAGGGUGCAGCAUUUCUCUUCACAUCGCUUUAUCUUGGAUGAUUUACCAUUGUGUUCUAGGGGAGUGAUUUUCAAAAAGAAUGAAUUUUGCAUUAAAUCCCGAGUAUGGUUGCUGCAGAAGAGAAGAUAUUUGCCUAUUCAGAUGAUGAGCUGGAUGCAUAAGUGAUCGCAUCAAUGGGUAAUGUGCACAUUCACUCAUAAGAAAAAAUUUGCAUGCCCUAUAAAGACCUAAAAGUUGAACAUCUGGCCUUUUCUGUGGCACCUCAAUUUUGCUUCAAUGUCUUCUAUUCCUUGAAAGGUUUAUUCCUAAAACCGUCAGAUCAUCACAGUCUUGAUACAACAUUCACUGCACACUGUUGGUAAAUGAGCCGAGCUCAGCUGUGGUGGAAUGACUAAUUGCUUUGCAUUAGAGAUAGUUAUGUUCACCAGGAAGUCCUUGAGUUGUACAUGGCUGGACAUGCAUGGCAGAAAGACUGGUGCUGUUCUUCUGCCGUUCACGAGGGACUGAGGACAGACCACUUUGUUAGAAUGGAAAAGCCAUUGAUCUUCUGCAGCAUCUAACUCUUUUAUCUAGCUCUUUGAUUUUGCAAAUAUAUAGUUAUUAUCAGUGUGAAGCAUGAGAAAAGCUUUUGGCCCUGCCUGUGACAGGAGAGCUGGAACUUCAUGAUCCUUGAGGUCCCUUCUAACCCAAGCCAUUCUCUGACUGUAUGUUUCUAUGAAAAGUAUGCCCAAAGUUGUACAAAGUAAAAUAUCUUUUCUCUCAGCUUUACCCUGCUGCCUGUACAUCCAACUGAAGUCCCAUCCCUCUGGUCUGGAUUCUGGGAAAGCCCAAGGCUGUGCCUGUCCGUAACACUGACUUGUGAUAUUAUUUUUCUGUGCUAUUGCCUUGCAAGCAUGGAAUGAAAAUUGCACCUAACAAGAAAGACUGGUGGACCAGGCACUUCUCUUGUGUUUGCUGCGAGCUGGCUGCUGAUGCAGAUCGUUGGUUUGCUGUGGGCGUUCACUCCUCGGAGCGAGUCUUCCACAUCUCAUUGUCUUUAUUUUUGUAAUUUUGCCCUUGCCCCGACCACUCCAAAUCCAGUUUGGGUUUGGGCUGUGCAGCUCUGAUUAUGAGUCACAGCAAUAUUCUCACACAUCCUAGUAUAUUAGUUAAGGGACCUGUGAAACAGCAGUAGGACAGAAAGUUAUUAGUUGAAAUUCCCAAAUGAAGGCGCAAAUGCUGAGGAACUCGCUCUGCUUUUAUUUGCCCCAGCUGAGGCAGAAAUCUUGUGCAGCAUGAAUAAAUUGUUACCUACUAGCUAAGAGAAGGGAGUUAUUUGCUGGGUUACAGCCAUCAGACUUAGACUCUGGGUGCAACCUAAGGGGCUCUCCGCUUUCGGACAUCCAGCCCAGUUUUGCAAGACCGCAACUUAGGAAAUUAAAUCAUAUCAAUCUUGAAUCAGUUUUUCUCUGGAAGUCAGGGCCCAAGCACAUGGAGAUCCCUCGGAUGAGUUUUGAUUGCAGGAUGAGUGGUGGGCUUAAAAUUAAAAUUACAAAGAAGCCGGUGCUUCUGAUGGCUUCUAGCCCUGCCAGCUGCUGCCAGAUGCUAAAUAAGGAGGGCCCAGGUGCUGCUAGAAGCAAGUGAUGGGGAAGAUAACAAGGGGGGUUACCAGCCAUUCCCUCCCAUGCAGAGAAGGCACUCUACAUGCUUGUACUUCUGACCCCAAGAUCAAGUUCCAGAUAACCAUGUAUGUAAAGCUCUGUUAUCUUUCAGAGAAACCACAAGAAGCCUAAAACUGUAUUCUUUUUUUUUUUUUUUUUUUUUCCAUGAGGAAAUCCUGUAGCAGCACUGCUCUGGCACUGUGACUGCAGCUCUGCUACACCUCUGCUGCAACGGGUGCUGCAGGAGCGCACACCAGCAUCAGAAAUGAGAGGGCAGAACCUUGGGAGCUGUCACCUCCACCGAUCUAACAACAGUUUGCUCAGCUGAGGGCUGGCGGGGAGUGUUUGCUCAUCUGCCUUAGCCAUGGAAAACGAGGAGGUUAAAAAUUAAUCUUUGCAGCUGGCAACUGCUGUAGCGAGCUAACACGGUGGGGCAGAGUUUUUACCAAUACCAGGAAUGUUAUGCAGCUUUGGAGUGGCCAAACAGCAGAGCUCACGUGUGAUAGCUUGACCCAGACUGAAGGCACUGUGUGACCUGUGCAGAGCUAAGUGCGCCUUUUUGCACUGACCUGCAGUGCACCUUUUGCACUGACCUCUUUCAUUCUGGUGAUAUGAAGAUGUUGGCGUCCUGUGACAGUGCACUUCCAUCUGCAGAAUGGAAAACUGUGCUAUGAUGUGUAUCUUUCCUUUGAAACUGCAGGAUUAGAAGUACUAAUAGCAGGCUAUUUGAGUGGUGCAGGUAACUAUAAAACCUUAUGGUGUAUCGCCCCUCUUAUUAGCGGUUCUCUGUGCUUUCCUUUGGCUCAUCAGUUGCAAAAGGACGCAGCCAUGUGCUGCUGGAAUUGGCUUGAAGCUGAACCUUGAAUUUCAGGUAGAUUAAAAAAAGACAAUCGCUGUUGGAGGAGACUGCAGGAGAUGGAGUCUAAACCUGCUGGAGCCAAACUGACACCAAAAAGAGCCAGCCUGCCACUGCUGUAAGUAGUGUAGCAGUUACCUGAACAGCUAUAAAAGUGCAAAUCCAUAGAGGGGGCAGGAAAGAAUAAAGAGAGAACUGCCCUCCCCGUCUCCUGCUCCACAGGGAAUAACACAAGAUGCACUACAGCAGCAAAUGCUCCAAAGGGAGAGGAAAGAGCUGCAGCAGAAAUCUCUGUGCAAACCACAGGGAAACAAUUCUGUGUCUCCAGUUCUCUGUCAUUCCGGUGCUGUGCAAAUAAAUAAGCUCCACGAUUGCUGAAGACCUCAUGCAAAUGUGCUUGCACUCUGCACUCCUGGGGCACAGGCAAUGGCUUUUUGCAUUGUGUGAGCAAAGCUGGUUGUGAGAGCUGUAAAAAAUAAAGCAGAUAUUGUCGCCUAUCACCUCGUGUCCAUUAG